CAAUAGCGUAUAUUAAAGUUGUUGCGGUUAAAAAGCUCGUAGUUGGAUUUCUGCCGAGGACGACCAGUCCGCCCACUGGGUGAGCAUCUGGCUCAGCCUUAGCAUCUUCUUGGAGAACGUAUCUGCACUUCAUUGUGUGGUGCGGUAACCAGGACUUUUACUUUGAGGAAAUUAGAGUGUUUCAAGCAGGCGUGCGCCUUGAAUACAUUAGCAUGGAAUAAUAAGAUAGGACCUUAGUUCUAUUUUGUUGGUUUCUAGAGCUGGGGUAAAGAUUAAUAGGGAUAGUUGGGGGCAUUCGUAUUUAACUGUCAGAGGUGAAGUUCUUGGAUUUGUUAAAGACGGACUACUGCGAAAGCAUUUGCCAAGGAUGUUUUCAUUG
rnacentral:rRNA from 1 species